rnacentral:snoRNA from 1 species
AAUGAAUGAUGACAAAGUGUUUCGGUCCCAGAUGAGAACAUACUGAUUUUGCCGUUACAUUUAUUUCUGACAUU